UACGAAGGGGGCUAGCGUUGUUCGGAAUCACUGGGCGUAAAGCGCACGUAGGCGGUCUUUUAAGUCGGGGGUGAAAUCCUGGAGCUCAACUCCAGAACUGCCUUCGAUACUGGAAGACUUGAGUCCGGGAGAGGUGAGUGGAACUGCGAGUGUAGAGGUGAAAUUCGUAGAUAUUCGCAAGAACACCAGUGGCGAAGGCGGCUCACUGGACCGGUAUUGACGCUGAGGUGCGAAAGCGUGGGGAGCAAACAGG
rnacentral:rRNA from 1 species